rnacentral:rRNA from 1 species
AUGGGCCAGCUGAAGGGGCGGGCAGCAGCUUCGCGCCGUCGCGGGAAAAAAGAGGGCGGGAGAAGAGAAUCCAGCGGCGGCGGCGAGGCGUGGGUCCAGGGAGCGGGGAUGAGCUCGUCGACGACGUCCGGGCAGGGCCAGGGCGACGACGCGCCGGACCUGGUGUGCGUGGUGGACUGCGUCCAUGGCAUGGUCGACGCCCUCUCCUGCGUCCGCUGGAACAAGCAUCAGGUCAGCCGUCAGCAGCCGCCCCCCUCUCCUCUCUUCUCCUCUCCUCUCCUCCGCACGCGUAGGCUGUAUCUAAGAGCCGCCCUCCAUGGCAUGGUCGUCCCGCAGGGCGCGGUGGUGGAGCUGUCGGAGCACGGCAUCGUGGUCACCGUGGAGGAGAGCGGCUGCCUCCAGGCCAAGGUCUACCUCAAGACCGAGCUGUUUGCGGAGUACGACUACGGCGCGGAGGGACGUCCACGGUUCGGCCUCAACCUGGGGCUCCUCGUCGACUGCCUCAACAUGUUUACCGUCCCCGGGUUCGCCUCCCCCGUCGAGAUCCGGUACCCUGGCCCCGACAUGCAGCUUCUCCUCAGGUCAGUGGGGUUUCCAGAUGCAUGUAUACACGCAGAAAUCAGAACCAGAAUUCCUGAUACUGUCGCCUGGGAUUACCAUUUUGAGCAUGCAGGGAAUACUCCAGUCACUUUUACUGUUAAGUCUGCCAUCCUGAAAGAAUCAAUUGAUGACCUUGAGUGGCCAGGCUCCAGCAUUCAGAUUCAUUUUCAUCCAGACCCGCCUUCAGUAAUAUUUAAAGGUGAAGGGCAUGGUGACUUGGAGAUCGAAUUCUCCUACUAUGCAAAUACUGCUCUUCUAAUUGCAUUCCAGUGUGACCAAGAAUUAUCCUACAGGUAUAAGUACAAGUUUCUUCGUGCCACUACCUCGAAUGUUCCAAGUAGUGUCUUGAAGGAGAAUCGUGGGAGUAAAGUGACGAUUGGGAGGGGAGGGAUGCUCAAAAUCCAGCACCUGGUUUCAGUUGCAAGGCUAGGUACGCAAUCCUACCAUAAUUUUGCUGGAGGGGCUCAACAGCCAAGCCGGAUUGCAUUUAUCGAAUUCUUUGUGAAGCCGGAGGAGGAUGAUUAA